rnacentral:rRNA from 1 species
UACGUAGGGUGCAAGCGUUGUCCGGAAUUAUUGGGCGUAAAGAGCUUGUAGGCGGUUUGUCGCGUCUGCUGUGAAAUUUCGGGGCUCAACCCCGAACUUGCAGUGGGUACGGGCAGACUAGAGUACGGAAGAGGAGAGUGGAAUUCCUGGUGUAGCGGUGAAAUGCGCAGAUAUCAGGAGGAACACCAACGGCGAAGGCAGCUCUCUGGGACGUUACUGACGCUGAGACGCGAAAGCGUGGGGAGCAAACAGG